AUUGAACGCUGGCGGCAGGCCUAACACAUGCAAGUCGAACGAGUGGCGGACGGGUGAGUAAUGUCUGGGAACCUGCCUGAUGGAGGGGGAUAACUACUGGAAACGGUCGCUAAUACCGCAUACCCUCGGAUGUGCCCAGAUGGGAUUAGCUAGUAGGUGGGGUAAAGGCUCACCUAGGCGACGAUCCCUAGCUGGUCUGAGAGGCUGACCAGCCACACAGGAACGGAGACACGGUCCAGACUCCUACGGGAGGCAGCAGGGGGGAAUAUUGCACAAUUGGCGCAAGCCUGAUGCAGCCAUGCCGCGUGUAUGAAGAAGGCCUGCGGGUUGUAAAGUACUUUCAGCGGGGAGGCGUUACCCGCAGAAGAAGCACCGGCUAACUCCGUGCCAGCAGCCGCGGUAAUAC
rnacentral:rRNA from 1 species